rnacentral:rRNA from 1 species
UACGGAGGGGGCGAGCGUUAUUCGGAAUUAUUGGGCGUAAAGGGCGCGUAGGCGGCUGGGUAAGUCAAAGGUGAAAUCCCUCGGCUCAACUGAGGAACUGCCUUUGAAACUGUCCAGCUCGAGGCCGGGAGGGGGUGGCGGAAUUCCCAGUGUAGCGGUGAAAUGCGUAGAUAUUGGGAGGAACACCAGUGGCGAAGGCGGCCACCUGGACCGGUUCUGACGCUGAUGCGCGAAAGCGUGGGUAGCAAACAGG